rnacentral:tRNA from 1 species
GGAGGUGUAGCUCAAUGGUAGAGGGCAUGCCUAGCAUGCAUGAGGUCCUGGGUUCAAUCCCCAGUUACCUCCA